UAUUAAAAAUUCAUCCUUUUCUAUUGUUAAAAACUGGCAUAACUGGCAGAAUAAUCAGAUAUUUAUGCUAAUGUAUAGAAACCAAUUUUUAACUGUAGAAAUAGAUGAAAUUUUUAACA
rnacentral:pre_miRNA from 1 species